UCGUUAGGCACGCGCUGAAUGACGCAGACGGAAACAAUAUUUAUUUCCUUGCUUCACUGUUGUAUACUUUCAAACUGUUUAAAACCUGUAACUUCAACGAUAACAAGGCUACUAACCUGUCGUGAAGGAUGGCUCAGGGUGGCAGACUGCCCAUCCUCCUCUCCUUCUUGUUUUUCUCCAUGUUAUCAUCUCCGUGUGGAUGUCACCCUCACUCUACUUGGGCCAGGGCUGCAUUCAAUGAUACUACAAGGAAAGCCUCUGACAUGGCUGCAGAGGUGGCAGGCUAUGGUGAUGUGGCUAAACAGAUCAUUGACCUGGCUGUGUUUGGAGCCGCCAAGCACCGCUCUUACAGACGGCUAGCCGACUUCACCGACACCAUAGGGAACCGUGUCAGUGGCUCGCUCAACUUGGAAAUGGCUAUCAAAUACAUGUCCAAUGCUAUGAUACAGGAUGGCUUGGAUGUACAUCUAGAGCCAGUCAAAAUCCCUCACUGGGUGAGAGGGAAGGAAAGCGCAGAAAUGACUGUGCCCAGAGCCAAAAGUCUGGCUAUACUGGGACUGGGCAGCAGUGUAGGGACACCACCUGAAGGUAUUGAGUCAGAGGUGUUGGUGGUUCAGUCUUUUGAGGAACUGAAGCGCAGAGCCAGCGAGGCUGCAGGGAAGAUUGUGGUCUUUAACCAGCCGUUUGUCAGCUAUGGGGAGACGGUAGCUUACCGUGCGUUCGGUGCCUCUGAGGCAGCUAAAGUGGGAGCUGUAGCCUCACUCAUUCGGUCCAUCACUCCUUUCUCUAUUAACAGUCCCCACACUGGUUGGCAGGACUACCAAGAUGGAGUGAAACGCAUCCCCACAGCCUGUAUCACUGUGGAGGAUGCUGAGUUGAUGUGGCGUAUGGCGCAGAGGGGACAGCAGAUCGUGGUCAGACUCACAAUGGCGGCCAAGACUCUGCCGGUUGCCGACUCUUUCAACACAGUGGCUGAGAUAAGAGGCUGGCAGCACCCUGAGCAGAUCGUCUUACUGAGCGGUCAUUUGGACAGUUGGGAUGUGGGCCAGGGUGCCAUGGAUGAUGGGGGUGGAGCCAUGAUUUCCUGGGAGGCCCUGUCACUCAUCAAAGAUCUAGGUUUGCGUCCAAGGAGAACCCUGCGUACAGUGCUGUGGACAGCUGAAGAGCAGGGUGGAGUUGGAGCACAGCAGUACUAUAAUCUACACAAGGUGAACAUGUCCAACUAUGACCUGGUCAUGGAGUCUGAUUUGGGGACAUUCAGCCCGAUGGCUCUGCAGUUUACAGGCAGUGAUGCAGCACGAAAGGUGAUGGAAGAAGUGGUCAAACUGUUGGCUCCCAUUAAUACAACCAAACUGGAGAUACAUGGAGAAGGGACAGAUAUCUCACCUUGGAUGCAGGCAGGAGUACCAGGUGCUAGCCUACAUGUGGCCGACAGUCGAUAUUUUUGGUUCCACCACAGUGAAGGUGACACCAUGGACGUUCAGGACCCUCAAGACAUGGACCUGUGCUCGGCGUUGUGGGCUGUGGUUGCCUACGUCGUGGCAGACCUGCAGGACAUGCUGCCCAGGUAGCCAGGUACCACAUGGGAUGCUGAGCCUCCAGUGGACUGGAGGAGAGGAUUAUCACUGUGACCCUCCGUUGCACUGAAUGGAGAAGGAAGACGAGAGGAAAGAGGAAUGGAGAAUGAAGUGAAGUCAUGACGUGCGAGUAAAAAAAGGAAGAAGUAUAAUCCGGAGGAAGGGAGGAAAAUUAAAGAGAAUUCAUCAUACUGCAGGCGCCACGUAGAGCAUCGCAGCAGUUGCAACACACCCAACAGACAGGUCAGCACUCCCAUGGGGUGAUGUCAGGGUUAGUCAGCUAGCCAAUGCUGAUAAUGUUAUUUUGGAAACACAGAUGUGUGUGAGUGUGUAGGUGUUUGUGUUAAGACAGAUAUUUGUGUGGCUUUCUGUCAACUGCUAGUCAACUCUUCCUCGUCUGCCAGCAACACUGAUUCACACACAGACAUGUUAUGUUAGUGAAGAAACACACACAGUCUGUGGAUGUUUAACACACUGAGUCACACAUGACUGCUGACCUGACCACCAAAAAAAACAUGAUGCAUGAAUUUACAGACAUUAUCUGACAGACAGGACUGAAAUUACUUUUGAAAAUUAUGUUUAAUUCCUAUUUAAUUUAGUUCAGGUUCCCUCUAAUUAUUUAUCUAUUUUAAUCUGACUCCUGUGGUUUGUCACCUUCUGCAUCUUGUUUUCAUCACUUCUCAUAUUUUCUGCAUUAAUAUGUCCCCAAAGGCUUUUUGCUCCUCUGUUCUCAUAAUCUCACUCUGUAUAACAUCAUCUGCUUGGAUUGAUUUCAGUCUCCUCAAUUAUUAUAAUUAAAUAAUUUAAACAUGUGACCAGGGCUGCAACUAACAAUUACUGUCAACACCCAUUAAUCUACCAAAUAUUCUUGAUUAAUUGUUACAGAAUGUUGGCAAAUUACAAAUUCCCAGAGCCCAAAGUUACAUCUUUAAGUGUUUUGUUUUACCAACAGUCCAAAACCCAAAUACUGUAUAUUAAGUUUACGAACAUAAAAGACUAGGAAAACAAGAAAAUAUUCACAUUUGAUAAGAUGGAAAAUAAAAUUUUGCUCCUUUUGAUUUAAAGAAUGGCUCAAGCAACAUCGAUUAAUUGACUAAUCAUUUCAGCUCUAUAUCUGACUGAGACUGGAAUCCAGUCUGCAGAAAACUGAUGGUUUAGAACAACCUGCGGACAUCAAGCAGGAAAAUAAAAACUGAAAACUAACUGAUAUGUGUGAAUCAAUGAAUGUUCUAUUGUUCACUGUGCUUUCAAACUGGUCUGUCAUUUAAAUGCAUCACAUAAUAAGCCAGAUGGGUGCCAACCAGUACAUACUGUACAAUACCAGUCACUGUGUGGAGCUGGUAUUUAUCAGCAUAGACCACCACCUUGUGGACAGUCUCCAGCGCAGCAUCUGCUACGCUAAUUCUCAAAACGGAUGACACCAACUGUAUGUACGGCGUGAUGUCCUCCUCUGUCCAUUUCUCUUUGAGUGUGAAG